GACGAACGCUGGCGGCGUGCUUAACACAUGCAAGUCGAACGGAAAGGCCCUGCUUUUGUGGGGUGCUCGAGUGGCGAAAGGGUGAGUAACACGUGAGUAACCUGCCCUUGACUUUGGGAUAACUUCAGGAAACUGGGGCUAAUACCGGCUAGGAGCUCCUGCUGCAUGGUGGGGGUUGGAAAGUUUCGGCGGUUGGGGAUGGACUCGCGGCUUAUCAGCUUGUUGGUGGGGUAGUGGCUUACCAAGGCUUUGACGGGUAGCCGGCCUGAGAGGGUGACCGGCCACAUUGGGACUGAGAUACGGCCCAGACUCCUACGGGAGGCAGCAGUGGGGAAUAUUGCACAAUGGGCGGAAGCCUGAUGCAGCAACGCCGCGUGCGGGAUGACGGCCUUCGGGUUGUAAACCGCUUUCGCCUGUGACGAAGCGUGAGUGACGGUAAUGGGUAAAGAAGCACCGGCUAACUACGUG
rnacentral:rRNA from 1 species